UUAAUUAGCAAAUAUUGCAUAAGAUAUGCAAGAUCAAACUCAAUCUUGCAAAAGCCAAAUCCCUCUCUCCCUCACUAAAUUUUCGGCCACCCCUCUCUCCCUCACUACAAUUUUCGCCCAACACACAUACAUACACUCAUCUUCUUCACCUCACACUUCCACCAUUUUCCUCCAUUAGAGCAAACCUUCGAAGCUUCCAAUAAUACUACUAAACACCUCACAUCACUCUAAAACCUUCCAUAAAC
rnacentral:lncRNA from 1 species